CUCUUCAAGAAAAGUAACCAUCCCCUUUCCAAAUCCUAACAGCCUCUCAUAUUCAAGCGUUCUCAUCUCUUCUCUGUUCUCCUCUAGUCCCAUCUCUGUGUAUAGUGUCACUUCCCUCUCGCCGAUGCUGUCUCAUGCCUAGCCGCCUAACACUUGAUUUUUCUCCCCAUCUCAAGCUCAACUCGACAUUUUUACCCUCACCCAACACCAACUGCUGGUGCAUUUGCGUGCGCCUCCCAAUGUGCAUUUGCUGCUUGAAAUCAUUUGCCUCUUGCUGAUGUGCGUCUCCCUCCCCUACUUUACUCUGCUUGUCAGUUCAAGGUGUUGAUUUGUGAUUCUAUGAUAUUCUGUGAUUCUAGGUCGAUCUUUUGCAAUUCUACUAUUGCCUCUUUGCUCAAUUUUCGAGUUGUGAAAUCAUAACCCGAUAAGAGAAUAUUUGUUAUUGAUUUGUUGUUUGAUGGUUUCAGCUUGUUAAGUACAUAUAUGUUGUUUGUUGAUUGUUGUUGAUUUGUUAUUUGAAUUGUUGUGAAACCCAAUUUGCCAUGUUUAUAACCUGUGAAAUUCUAAUAUGAGGAAGGAAUAGCAAAAAUAACGUACUGAACUGAACAAAAAAUCUUCGGUUCGGCUCGAUUUGAUUUUCAAUAUAUAUAUAUAUAUAUAUAUAUAUUGUUGUCGUGAGUCCUCGAUUGGGCUCCUGAUUAAGAAGAUAGUGGGUUGUCUGAUUGUAAGCUUGAGAAUGAAGAUGGGUUACGUAACUUUUCUUUCUAGAGUCUUGUAAUCACAUUUCGAGUCGUUAGAGGUUGUCACUCCAGGAUUUUAGGGUAACUCGGAUGCUUUGAGAGCAGGGUCUCCAAGAUUCUAGCCGAGAAGAGUUCUUGUGGGAUAAGUUCUUAUUCUAGCACAUAUCAAGCUAUUUGAAUGCCGAAUCAUUGGUCGUCUGACCUGAGCUAUCUGAGUUAUCAUGUCUAAGCCCAGAGCUGGCAAGAAGAUCUACUUUGACCACCAGCGGGUGAGCUAGACUGAUCCAAGACUGCUUGAGAUGAGCCACGCUCAUGGGUCAUGGAAACUAAACUAGGCCAUCCAGCCCCUCGAUUGACAUGGUUCGGAUUUGAUUCAAAUAUUGGGUCAUUCUACAUUAAUACUUCGAUUCACUUUAGUUCUCAUAAUUUUAAAAUUCAAUUUUCCCGCUAA